AGACACGUAGUUUACACAACCGUUAAAGGCAUGAUUACAAAGUGACCAUACACUUUAUUUAGAAAAAGAAAAAACGGUUCAUUUAAGCCUCGACGAUCUCCUCGAUAAAAGGUUGUUGUUGCCUACCAGCGGAUCGAGUCAAGGUGGUCUCAAGGGUGUUAAACUUGAUCCUCCUAGCUUCCUCGGGGGAGACCUGGAAACCAUUUGAGAUGACCGCUAAUGGCAAUCCCCUCAAGAGCGAGGUUCGUCCAGCCAAAGUGCUGAUCAUAGCGUUUUCGUUAGUCUUGAAAGAGAUCCACUCGAAGUUGUUUCCGUGGGACUGGACAACGUAUGCGAACCCUUGUGGGAUGACCACGAGCUGUCCCUUCUGCACCUGCUGGUCCAACACAUUCUGUCCGUUGUCGUUCACAACUUGGAUCCUUCCUUGUCCUCCGGUGCAGUACAAGAUCUCGUUAGCGUUCAUGUUGUAUUUUGGAAGUACCAUAGCAUUCUGCAACAUUUCAUACAUGAUCAGUUGUUGUCCGUCACAUGUAGCCUCCGAUUUUAAUAUGUUUUGUUUUGUUUUUUUUGAAAAAGAUUUUUAAUAUGUUUUGUUAGGGGAAAUAAUUAAUAUCAACCAUGUAAAUAUAGUGGAUUAUAUAAGUUUAGUGACUUAAUAUCCAUAUAUCUACAACUAAAUAUCUACUAAAUUUAAUUAUAAUUUGUAUACUAUCCCUAAUUUAUCUUUUCACGGUUGAUUUCUCUAUAUUUGUAUAAAGUAAAAGAAACAUAUACUUACACCCUGGAUACUGCCACGGGUGGCGCUGAGCCUGAUGAACUGCAAGAUGGGCAAGGUGUAGCUGUUAACGGUGGUCAUACGACCUAGGUUGGGCUUGUAUACGUCAGCACGAGCAGGGUCGUCAAUGUUUUCGUGGGACCUCAUGCUGCAGAUAGUCUCCUCAAGGCCGUUGUCUUGUGGGCCACGUGGGCGUCUCCUCUCUUCGCUCUCGUAGGGUUGUCUCAAAGGUGGUCGCACGACCUGGAAAGGUCCCUUAACACGAACGAUGUUUCCUCGGUUGUCUUGUUGGUUCUGAAGCUCCUGAGCCAACUGAACGUCAAUUUUCAAUGCCUGAGCAAUGACCUGAGCGUCGAAGCCGCUCCACAUGUUCUUCUGUUCUUGUUGUUGCUGUGGACCGCCAAAGCCACCCUGUUGGUUGUUUCCGGCCAAAUGGAACACCUAUAACACCGAAUCAACAAAUGCAAAACAUUUAUAUAUUAUUUAAACUGAUACGGUAGAUAUUCUAAUAAUGAGUGAGCAUGUUGAGUAUAUAUGAUUACUCUAGGGUUACGGUCGAGUUGGUUUUGGUAGUUGGCGAUGUCGAGAAGAGCGAUGAUGACAAGUGGCUGUUCUCCGGUGUUGUAGAUCCAAUGGGCAGAGCCUGGAGUGAUGGCACAGAUGUCUCCCUGGCGAACAUGUUCCACCUUCUGGUGCAUGUCACGGAACCCUUGUUGUUGCUGUUGUCCCUGUUGUCCCUGUUGUCCCUGGCCUCCCCAUGGUUGUCGUCCCUGUUGUCCCUGUCUUUGUUCUUGCUGUUGUUCUUGCAUGGGCUGCGAGUCCAUGAAGGUCUCAGCACAUCCAGGGACCACUCUUCCGCUAAUACCCUUUCCUGUAAAUUAAUUUUAUAUACAGAAUAGAGUUAUCGUACGGUGAAUCUAUUGUAUUCUUCAUUAAUUAAAACGUGAUAUAUACGUAUUUGAUUGAAAGGGCUAUCAUGUUUGUGUAAAUUGAUAUAGACCUUGAACAACGUAUGAGAUCUUCGGGGAAGUGAAGAAGGUGGGCAAGUAGAGACCGCCUUGUUCGAUCACAUAACGAGCGACGGAGACACCAGCACAUCGGAGUUGAGGGUGGUUGUGAUCCCAGUACUCGAUCUGACCGGCCUCACUCUUGAUAGUUUCGGUGGCUUGGAGAACGUCCAGGUUAUCAAGGUUACACUCGUUCUGCAGCUGAGGAGGAACCCCAAGAGACUGCCUUGCAAGGCAGCCGUUAAGGACGAGGAGAACCCCGAAGGUCGCAACGAGGAGAUUGCCGAGCUUAACCAUUUUCUUUUUGUUUGUUGUGAGAGAUGGAUGAAGAAGAACGAGGCUUAGCAGUAGUUUAUAUACUGUCGAGUGAGCUCAAUGUUUAUGCCACCUAAGAUUGGGUUUGCAUGGGGUCAUGAGUCUAUGGUUUUAACACGUCAGUCUGUGAGCUCGAGCAAGUGUCUCUUGAUGUUCAUGCGCGUAGCUCACUCUCCGCGUAUGCCAAAACACGACAAAUUCAAAUGUAUCUAUCUCAAUUUUUAGCUUCACGUUAUGUUAUUAUCCAUAUAGAAAAACUCUACUAGAUUUAUCAUUUAAUAACGUCUCGGGAUCAUAGAAUCUCUUAAACAUGAUAUAUAAUUGAACUUAAACACAGCAGGAGAAAAUCAAAGUUUAACAAUUAACACAUCAUUAACAUCACCAGUGAUAUAUAUUGAAUAUUUUGGCGAUGUGAUCGAAGAGAGCGUAUAAACAAAAUAAAAUUUUAAAAUAGAGAGUUAGGAAGGAAACAAGGUGCCACAUGAGAGAGACGCGGCGACACUAGGCGUGUUUGAUCCGUUGUACUUGUAUCUGCUGCGACUUGACUCGACAACUGUUCGGUUGCAUGUUUAGCCGCGGUGACAAGUGUCUGACAUUUAUACUAAAUAGGCUUAUCAAAACCAAAACCAAGCCCAAUAAAGUAUUCUUUAUUCACCAUUAAGCCCAGCUAACGUAUCUAAUUGCCCAUAGCGUGAGCCCAAAGAAAAAAAAAAAAAAAAAUGCGACACCGUCCCGUUUCUCCAAUAGAAGUCAGAGAGCUUAAACCCUAAACCCCUUUCUCACGAUCUUCCCCUUUCUCCAGUAGCCAAGGUUUCAGGUACGCUUCUCGCCAUUUCGCUUUUGUAUUUUGUUUAACGGGUGUGUAUCAAUUGAUUCCUUUCGAAAUUUUAGUGAACGAGUGAAUUUUGGAGGUGGCUGAGAGAGUUUUCUGCUCGAAGUUAAUUACUUGCUGUUUAUACCAAAGAUGCGAGUGUUGCUGUUUGAUUGAUUAGAAGUGUUUUGAGCAUGUGGGUUCGUUAAAUUUUAUAGCUUUUACGAUUUCGUGUGCUGAAAUUUGACUUCAUUUUGAUUCUGUUACUUGACUCUUUUGGUAGCUAUAAGUUAAAGUUGCAUAAGUGAGUAGAUCUGAGUCUGAUUCUUGGGUGCAUGUUUGUGUAUUCUGUUUCUCUGCACUUGGAUAUUGAUUUUAAUUUUUUGAAAUAUUGGGAGUGUUCUAGAAAGAAGGAUGAAUAUCAACGUCAAAGUUCCGAAGGUACCAGGUGGUGGUGCCAUUUCAGCGCUGCUUAAGGUUGGGAUUAUCGGUGGGCUUGGUCUCUAUGGUGCCACACACAGUCUCUACAAUGUUGACGGAGGACAUCGUGCCAUUAUGUUCAAUCGUUUUAUCGGUAUCAAAGAUAAGGUGAGUCACUGUUUCUUCAAAUUGGGGUUUUUGGUUUUGUAGUGAAUGUAUUUUCCCAAAGAGUUCUUUUGCGGUUUGUGACAUUUGAAUGGAAAUUGUCUAGGAUUAUUUGUUAUUUAAAUCUGAUUCUCUUUUGUGUAAACACUGAGGCUGAUUUGUUGUCUAUGUUUGGUAUCAGUCAUGAUAUCAUGUUGUUCUGCUGUAACCAUUGAGCAUAUUAAGAGUCUUGUUAAUUCACAAGUAGGUGAUAACCUUAUAUUUCGCAGGUUUACCCUGAGGGCACACACCUUAUGAUUCCUUGGUUCGAAAGGCCGGUCAUCUAUGACGUUCGCGCUCGACCUUACCUUGUUGAGAGUACAUCCGGAAGCCGCGAUCUCCAGAUGGUACUCUGCUUCAACUCCUCACAUUUUUAUUCACUUUUUUUUUGAGGAUUUAGGGAAUGUGAAGUCUUUCGCUUCAACCGUCACAUGGUUUGCUUAUAUGCCACUGUGAUGUAAUAAUGUCAACGCUCAACUUCAUAAGCUUUAAGUUUGUGGGUUUUGAAACUUUCAGGUGAAAAUUGGGCUUAGGGUUCUCACGCGUCCCAUGGCAGACCAGUUACCUGAAAUCUACAGAUCCCUUGGUGAGAACUACAGCGAGAGAGUUCUGCCUUCCAUAAUCCACGAGACUUUGAAAGCUGUGGUUGCUCAGUACAAUGCAAGCCAGCUUAUUACUCAGAGAGAGGUAUACAAGUGACUGUAAAUAUAUGAUAAUCUUUCCCUCUUUCUUAGUGAAGUUAACAAAGAUAGUUUUUGGGCUACUCUUAGGCGGUCAGUAGGGAGAUCAGGAAGAUUCUGACUGCACGAGCUGCAAACUUCAACGUCGCGCUUGAUGAUGUGUCCAUCACGACCCUGACAUUCGGGAAGGAGUUCACCGCUGCCAUUGAAGCAAAGCAGGUGGCGGCUCAAGAGGCUGAGCGAGCCAAGUUCAUCGUUGAGAAGGCUGAACAAGACAAGAGAAGUGCAGUUAUCCGUGCACAGGUAAAGCUGAGCUUCUCUACAAUUCCACUUAUCUAAAAUCUGAGACCGAAAUUGUUGUGUGACAACCUUGUCAUGGCUUGUGUAGGGAGAAGCCAAGAGUGCUCAGCUCAUUGGUCAAGCAAUUGCAAACAACCAAGCGUUUAUCACACUCAGGAAGAUCGAGGCUGCAAGAGAGAUUGCGCAGACCAUAGCAAACUCGGCGAACAAGGUGUACUUGAGCUCAGACGAUCUGUUGCUUAACCUACAAGAGAUGAAUUUGGAUGUAGAUGCAAAGAAGUAGAGAGGCUUCUUAAGUAAAAUCUCAUGUGCUUCAUGUCGUCUUUUCAAUUCCUCAGAUCCUUUGGAAGAAGAGUUCGAUUUGUAACCACUAAAAAACUUUUAAAAGUUGUUCUUGGAAUCACCUACCUCAAGGUGAAAAUGGGUCACCAUUAAAGAGAAAAGACUGAAUGAGUUAAUUGUAAUGAACUUGUCGUUUGGGGGAAAAAAAAAAGAGGUUUGCAUUUGGUUAAAUGAAAAAAGUGAUUUAUUUUUCCUUUCGAAAUAACGAGUGUCAAUUGUCAAAUGGCUAAUCUACUGCUUAAGACAUCCGAAGUCUGUAGGCGCUAUUUAGUUCUCUGCCGACAAGAUAUGAAAAUGAAUAAAUGUACCAAAAGACAAGGGAGAUCUUUGUACAUUUUUUCACGAUCAGUCCAAGGAAUUUAAAUUGUACAAAGCAAAUAAAAAAGGGGGAGAAAAAAAAUUAUGACAAAAAGAAAAACAAGUUACGUAUUUAAGUUUGCACAGUAACUUUUAAGUUAUUUUCAAUGUAUGUUUAUGUAGUAAUAUGAAGUAUAAUGCUUAUAUACCCUUUCUCUUAUUUUACGACCGUUGAUAUAAAAUUUGAUUUUCUUUUCAAGGGAUAAAAGGUUGAGAGUCAUGAGCCAAAUGGUUCUGUAUCCCGGUCUGAUUAAACGAGAUAAGAGCCGGAAUAUUGUGAUAAUACUCACCGGCUCCGGCCGUUCCCCCUCCACCGCCGUUGCUCUUGACGUUACUGUUGUUAUGAUGAAGAUGGUAAUGAAGGUGUCGGCCACUACUUCCACCGAGGCCUUGGAGGUAAGGUCGGUCUUUAGCCGUGGCUGCUGCAGCGACUGAGCCACCACAUUGGCGUGGUUGAGUCUGGUAGAAGACUUUGGAGACGACGAGCUCUCCUUCUUUCUCUUCCUCGUUGGUACCAAGAUGAUAUUGAUGCAUUACCCAAUUAGUCUUCUCGGGCUUUUUUUGUUUGCCGUAGUUUGUGUAGAGCACUAGGAUUUUCUUGUAGCCUCUCACUCUUCCACCGGCUAGAACUGGCCGUGUUUUGCCGGUUUUGUGCCACCGUGUCUCGCCACCAACUUCGGAAUCAGUGUGGACUUUACGUCGUUUUCUUGUUCCCGUCGUGUAUGCCUUCGACGGCCGGUGGAAAAAAUGACGGACAGUCCCGUCCUUGUUCACUCCUAUAUAUAUAUAUUCAACGACUAAUUAGCAUUCAUCAAACAUUUUCUUCUAUUUAACCUUUUUAUCAAAUAUCAUUCAAUUAUUAAUUUUCAACAUAUUUUUGGAGUUUUCACUAAUCAUAUACUAGCUAGUGGAAACAAAUAACAAAAUUUGAUCAUCAACCCUAAUUAUAAUUAAUGCUAUUAUUUGUAUGUAACAUAUUUUUCAGAUGGAUGGCACUAAAUCUAUAGAAAUCAAACAUUAAAUUAUUAAUGUAUAGAAAAAUAGUAUACACUAUACAAGAACAAUAGAUAUGUAAUCAAUCUUUUAAAGUAUCAUAAAAGUUAUAUAUGUUCUUUUUCCAUGUCAGAUUAUUUAGAUCAUAUGAAAAUGAAAAAUAUAAAUAUAUACUAGAUUCGGACCCGCGCUACAGCGCGGGGGAAAAUUGUCUGGUUUUGUUUUUUGUUUUUUUCUUUCAAAUGUCGAUUGUAAAAUUUGAUGUUUUAUUUUAAGUAUGUAAUUGUGUUGGGUUGGAAAAUUUAACGUUUAAAAUAGAAUAUGAUAGCGUGGUUCCCGUAUGAGCUUAAUUUUCCGAUGUUUUGAAAAUGGCAUUUGGGGAUAAAAGAUUGUUGGUGUUAUACAAUUGAAACAUUUAUUAAGUUAAUGUGGGUUUAAUAAAGUUUAUAUACUCAAGUUAGUAACUAAUUGUAUGUAAUAUUUAUAACAUUAUUAAGCUAAACUGUUAUUUUGCUAAGUAAUAUUGAUGAAGUAUGUGUUUAUAUUUCUAAAUUGAACCUUUAGUAGGUUUGUAUCAUCAUGUUGACAACAAUUUAUAUUUUUGUUCAUGUUUACUUUUUUUUUACCAAUAUUAACGAUGGCUUCUCAAAUCCUUAUUACGGAAACACUAAGACUAUCUCCAAAGAGGGAUCCUUAAGUCAAAAUUAGAAUUUAUGUUGAUUUAAAAUAAAUGUAAAUGUAAUUAAAUGAUAAAGAGCGCUCCUUAUUAAAAGACUUUAAAAAGCGGUUGCUAAAGGACGUGGCAAAAUAAUAUUGGUUGUGGCAAACAUACAUUUUUUNNNNNNNNNNNNNNNNNNNNNNNNNNNNNNNNNNNNNNNNNNNNNNNNNNNNNNNNNNNNNNNNNNNNNNNNNNNNNNNNNNNNNNNNNNNNNNNNNNNNGUCUCUCUCUUCUCUCGCAUUCCUCUCUUUUUCUUUCUCUUUCUUUAUUUUUCUCUCUCUCUUUUAUUUAAUUGUAAUUUAUAAUAAAAUAUUAUUAUACACAUUUUUUAAGGGUUCAAGGUUGGAGAUGCCCUAAUAAAUUAAUAUUGCCUAAAUCCACAUUUUAUAAUAUAAAAGUUUAGGUUUUGUUGACAAUUAUGAAGCCUUUUUGUUUUCCAUAAUAAGAACAAUUAAUAAUAACUGUGGGCUUUUGGCCCAUUACUGAAUUUUAGUGGAUGAUGUUUACCCAAUUUAUUUAUUUUUUUCAAUCAAAAUUGUCUUGCAGUCAGAUUUUGUCGUUAUUGAAAUCGAAAUUUAGGAAAAUCUUGGUUCGUAAUUCUAGGAGAUACGAAAAAGUUGUUAUAUUAUUCACUUAGUUACUAUAUCAUACUCAAUGCUGUUGAAAUUACGCUUUAAUGCGUAAUAAUUAUUGAAGGAAAGAUAUUAUGAAUAUUCGUAUAGUUGUUAGGUAAAGUUCUUGGAAUAUUCUGUUUUUUGGUAUAUUGAAAACGCACGAGACAGAGAAGUCGCUAGUAUAACUAUCUAAGGCCAAGAAGAAGGCCCAAAACAUUAUUAGCUUUUAAUGUCCGAUUAAUAUAGCAAUAACUUCCGUUCAAAUUUUAUUGAGAAGAUCCGAUUUGGAAGUCGGAUUUUUUUUUUAAAACCGACCCGAGAGAGUAUUUGUACUUCUCUUUUACUAUAGUAGGGAUUUUCUGUUAAAAUUAUUUAUUUUGCUGUCAUUAAUUCUGUUUGGUUAUAGGUUUAGGAUUACAUAAAAUGUUAUUUUUAUUUUUAAUUGUGUUUGGCUUUCAAGAUAAAUAAUGCUUUCCUUUUAAUAGUAUAGAUAGCUCAUGUAAACAGCAAAAUUGUUGAUGAUUGAACAACAUAGAAUCACCUGGCAAUUUCUCAGGAUGGGUAUAACAGAUGCCGUUUUCACCAUCGAUAGUACGGAUGAACUCAUCGAUGAGAGGAUGAAGCUUUCUUGCGUCGUCUUUUACCUUCCCCUCAAGAUGUUCCAGUACCUCUUGAUCCGUCGGAUCAAAUUUCACUCCGGCGGGCAGUCCCGGCAAGUCAUGGAUCCCGGCCUACAUAAAUUGGGUUUUUGAUUACUCAUGAUCAACUAAUAGAUAUCAAUGAUCAAACAGUUUCCAAAUGUAGAAACUAGAUGUAGCUAGCUAGGUAUUGAGAGAAACAAGAACCUGUUCAUGAAACUUGAAGUUAUGGCCACAAGAAGGACAAGUUUUGUGGCUUGAGACCGGUAAUGAGGCUCUGGGAGACUCAGCCGCAGUCGGGGAGGGAAUGAUUCUUUCAACGGUCUGAACAUCGUUACGGUCAUUGCACCAAGUCAUGUUGUUUUAGGUAUCCAAGGUUCCUCUUGUGCAUAUCUCUCUUUCUCCUCUUCUUUCACUGCUCACAACUUCGUCAAAAUAAACAAAGGCAUGAGAGAGGAAGAGAGGAAGAGAGGAGGGAAAAAGAGUUAAAGUUAGCUAAAGCAUAUGUAUCCUAAGAAGAACUCUUUGAGGUUAUCUUGAGAAGGAGGAAGGAAUUGAAUUCUUGUUCAUCACUUUUUAAGUUGAGUUAAUUGGCCUUUUUUGCACUUGAUUUUAACUUUGUACUAUCCAUGAAAGAGAGAGAGAGAGAGAGAGAGAGAGAGAGAGAGAGAGAGAGAGAGAGAGAGAGAGAGAGAGAUGAGGUAAGCCUAAAAAAUUUAUUAUUUAAACCUCAUUUUAUAUUGUGUACAAAUGUACCAUUACUCUACAUAGUAAGAAAUUAUUAUUUAGAGCUAGACUUAAUUAGUUUUGUUUAAUAAGUAUAUUUGUAGAAACAUACAUGCUAAGUAACAAUGAGAGGAAGAGGUACACCUACAACUCAACUUGAAAGUGAAGUGUAAUAUAUAAUUGUGAAAUUUCAAUCUUUUGAUUUACAUGUAACAUUGAUCUUUUGCCAAAAAAAAACAUGUAACAUUGAUAAAUUAUAUAUUGGAAAUUUUCUUCUUCUUGUUUUUUUUACAAGUUUACAAUGCAUAGUUGUAUCUUCUAUAGUUAAAAGCAUUAAAUUAAAAACUUCAGAUUCUUUCUGAAACUGCAAUGUGAUAUUCUGAAUAAACUAAUGGAUGAUUAGAAUUAAGAAAAAAAUAAAUAAAGGAGAUUGCUUGGGUUUUAAGUUUGGUUUGGCUUCUACAUCGCAUGUAUGGUGUGUGAGAGAGAAAGAGACAAAGACGACUGAUCAAACAUCUAAAAUAUAUGAAAAACAAAAUCUUGUGAGAGAAUAUAUAUGUAUGAUGUUGCCUUUUUUUUUCUUUUUGGGACAAACACAUUCUUAAUUAGGUUAAUUAAUUAGGUUUCUACCUUUGGUCGUAUUUUGUAUGUAUUGAUCUUUAUAUUCAAUAUAUUAAUUUGGUAAUUUACUGAUAUUUAGGAUCUAAAAAUGAGUAAUGAGAUGGCGUGGUUUUGGAGGAAGGUGUUGUUGCUGGUUCGUGAGGGAUCAGACGUGAUAGGGUAGAACCAAAAAAAAUAAGAAAGAGAAGUUAAGGUCCAAUGUCACCCUAGCGUGUAUAUAAAGAUAUUAUAAAUCACAUAAGCUUAUACUUAUAAUUUACACAUCUGUGUCUUACAUAAUUUUUCUUGUCUCAAUGUCUCCAUCAGUAUUUACUGAAAUCAUAUACUCUAUACGAGUACUGACUGAUAUACGUAAGAAAACAUUAAUAAAAACAUUGAUAUUAUUUCCGAUGGAUAUUGUACACCUCGAAUAUAGUUUUAAGUCGUGCAGAAGUAUAGUUUUAGUAAUUAGUUUCUCAUUUUUUUCCCUUUUAAAUUAUUGGUUAGUUUUAACUUUUGUGAAAUAAAUCAAUAAUACUCUAGAGAAUAAAGUUAAAAGCGAUAUAUGCGUAUAAUUAUUUAUUUUUGAAAUCUUACGUUUAUUGUCAAAAAUAGUUAUGAUCACGUCAAGAUAACAACUCUCAAAAUCGCAAGAAAAACAUAUCCUUGAAAUACAAAUUAUAAGUAGCAUGUCGAAAAAUGAAUUAACAUUUAACACUUUGUGGCAUGAAUUUGUAAGUGAAGUUGAGAUGGAAUUGUUAUAUACCGAGGUUGAUGAAUAAUAUAAAAGUAAGAAGCUAUUUUUUAUAUAGAUAAAAAGAAAAAGAAAGUUUAAAAAGCUAGUCAUUAUUCUAUUUCUUCACGUAGACUUUUCAUGCAUAACAAGGAACCUCAACCUUUAUUUUUAAAACUUUUCUCUUUGUCGUCUGAUUUUGUUUCUGGUCUCUCAUGUGAAUUGUAAACACAUGUUAUACUACCUUUUCUAAUCAAACUAAACAAAAUUUAUGAACAAACCGGUUCUCUAAGACAGUGAAUAGUAUGCUGCAGCUAAAACCCACAAUUGUAGAGUUCCUUAGAUGUGAGGUGGGUGAUGGUCGCUCUGCUUCUUUUUGGUAUGACUCUUGGACAGAAUUUGGUCAGCUUAUAUCUUACCUUGGAGAAGCUGGACCAAGAUUACUCUGCAUAAGGAAAGAUGCAAAGGUUGUAGAAGCAACGAGAAGUGGUAAUUGGGUUUUUCCGGCAGCUAGAUCUGAUAAUUCCCAAGCUUUAAUGGUGGCAUUAGCAGACCACUCUCCACCAGAAUCUAGCAAAGGCCGAGACGCUUUCCUGUGGCGCAAUGCUUCAGGUAAUUUCAUCCCAUCUUUCUCUUCAAAGGAAACUUGGGAGCAGUUGAGAAUUCAUUCACCUUUGGUUCCAUGGGCUGAUGUGAUAUGGUUUAAAGAGCAUGUGCCACGUUUCUCCUUUGUUAGUUGGCUGGCUUUGAUUGCUCGUUUACCCACAAGAGAUAGACUACGAAGGUGGGGCAUGAAUACCCCUGCCUCCUGUGUUCUAUGCUCUAAUGGGGAAGAAAACCACAAUCAUCUCUUCUUUGAGUGCACCUUCUCCUCAAGCGUCUGGGGUUUUUUUGCAGCGAAGUUCAUCUCCUUUCCUCCGGCCACCUUGUCAGCAGCGUCUUCAUGGAUCCUCCUCCACAAUCUGCCGCAAAACACCAAACUCAUCUCCAUCCUCAAGCUCCUCCUUCAGACGGUGGUCUAUCACCUUUGGAAAGAGAGAAACUCUCGAUUAUUCACCGGUGUUGCAUCAACCGCUGCAGCUUUGCGGCUUAUCAUUGAUCGUACAAUGCGUAGUCGGCUUCUCUCCUUUCCAGGACCUAGCUUGCUUUCUUCUUCUCUCCUUGCUGUUUAUUUUAGUCGUCUUAGUUAUCCGUUGUAAAGUAAUUCGUCUAGUCUGUCUCUUGUUCUCGUGCUAAUGGGUUAGUUUUUGUAUCUUUAGGUUGUAAUAGCUUUGGCAAUGAAAUCUUCACAUUAAAACCAAAAAAAAAAAAAUUUAUGAACAAAAAAGUUACACUUGUGUGUCUCUUCGGGAAAUUUUUGUGGUUAGCUUGUUGUUUUCAUGGGUGGAUCGAAAGCGCCGCAAGGUGACAUUCAAGAAAACCAGUAACAAAACCAAUUAUGACAUUACUUGCAUGUUCUUGGAAAUUUAGCAUAUACAAUUUAUAAUGGCACUAUUAGAUUACUUUAACUUACAAAAAUAUGUAAUUCAAGAAUUUCAACUAAAAAAAUAAAAAUAAAAAAUUCAGGUCCCUGGAAUGCAGGAAUAACGAUUUGUUGUUAAAUCAAUGUUGGUUACAAACAUGAAACAUUACAUAAGUUUAAAUAUAUAAUAACCAAACUUAGUAAUAAAUAGCAUAUCCCUUUAUACUAGGAUUAUCAAGAGCUAUUACCUAAUUAGAAAGCUCUAUUUUUCUGUUUCUUGAUAUCUUACAAUUCAACUUAGCUUAGCAUCAUAACAUCAAAUCGUUAUUCCCGGCCCAAUCCAAACUCGGCCCAGUAUUAUAAUGCUCAAACGCUGUUUAAGUCUUCUGUGUAGUAUGGAGACAGUUUCCCACCACUCUUUUUAGACGCGUUUGGACUGCUACUGGAAACAGUACCAGGUACUUCUUGAAGCAUGAUCACAACUUUUCUCAUGGAAGGUCGGUUUAGAGGGAGAGGACUCAUACAGAGAAGACCAAUGUGUAUGACUUUGCUAAUCUCUUCUUUAAACCUGAGAUCAAGUUUUGGAUCUAUAACAGAUUCUAAACCGCAUUGGUCAAGCGUAGAGCACACCCAUUUCCCCAAAUCUUUUUCUCCAAGUUCUUGAUCUGUUGGUUGCUUCCCUGUAACCAAUUCCAAAAGCACCACACCAAAGCUGUAGAUAUCGCUCUUUUCAUUCACCCGAAGUGUGUAUACAUACUCUGCAAAAUUUAAAACUCGGAAUAUAAGUUGGAAUGUUAAAAGAAUGCAGUUGAAUUGUAUCGUUUCAUUCAGAUGGAUUUCUCUUGUAACUUUAUGGUAUUGUUUUGGUAAAUACCUGGUGCAAUGUAACCGCAAGAACCAGCGAUCCCGGACAUAGCUUCUGGCGUUUUGGAACCGCUCAUCUGACCAAUUUUUGCAAUCCCAAAGUCGGCAAUUUUGGCUCUGUAUUUUCCAUCAAGCAGUAUAUUACUCGACUUCACGUCGCGGUGCACAAUCGGAGGAACGCAAUCAUGGUGCAAGUACGAUAAACCCUCAGCAGCGUCCACAGCGAUUCUUAACCGCUCUGGCCAACCCAACAACAGCCGGCCUUUGCGUUCAUUGUGCAACACAUCAGCUAAGCUCCCAUUAGGCAUAUACUCGUACACCAACAACUUACAAUCACCGGAGCUGCAACAACACCACAAACGCACGAUACUCUUAUGCCUAAUCGUUCCUAGUGUUUCGACUUCCGCGGCAAAAAAGUCUCUGUUCAACGAAUCGCUGUAUUCAUCUCCUCCUUUAACAGUUUUGUUAAGUUUCUUCACAGCUACUACUUCUCCACCGCGAAGCUCCACUUUGUAGACUUUACCGGAGGAUCCAAACCCGAUCACAUUCCGUUCAUCAAGACAAUCAGCGAUUUCGUGCUCACUGAAAUGAAGCUUGUGAAAGGAUCUCCAUUUAGACGCUGCGAGUCUAGAGCUCUUUAAAGCUCUGAGCUUUCUACACUUAGCAACGAACAUAACGACCCCAACAACGAAAACCAAACCCGCAAGUGUGAAAAUCGAUAAGAGAAUCCAGACAUAGCCAAUGUUUUUAGACCGCGUGAUCUUCUGACAAAGACCAUCAAGAUCAACGCAUAAACCGGGAUUUCCAAUAAAGUCAUGUGCGUAUAUUUUGUCCCUGUACAGAAAAGGAAUGUUACCGGAGAGGCGAUUAUACGACAGAUUGAGAACGUUUAGCUUCAGGUUCUGCAGUUCCACCGGAAUCUCACCGGAAAAUUGAUUGUUGGAGAGAUCGAGGUAGUUAAGAACAGGCAAGAUUCCGACUUCUUUAGGGAUCUCACCGGAGAGAUGAUUAUUAGCCAAAUUGAGCUCAUUUAGAUUCUUCCAACCACGAAUCCCUCUAGGAAUCUCGCCGGAGAGUUGAUUCUUACUGAGAUCAAGCCUACUCAAUUGCUUCAACUUCACCAAGCUACCAGGAAUUACACCAUUGAAACCAUUCUCCGCUCCGGAGAACUCGAUCAGUCCCUUAAGCGAUCCGAUUUCGUCGGGUAUGGAACCUAAAAAUCGAUUCUUUGAGAUUCGUAGGUUUGAUAAAUUCUUCGCACCGAUGAUCGUCUUAGGAAUAACUCCGGUGAAUGAAUUUUCUGAGAGUUCGAGCAGUGAUAAGCGAGGCAAUCCCCAGAACUCGUGAGGUAUGUUACCGGAGAGCUUGUUGUUACUCAAUCGGACCCGAGUCAAGCUCUUGCAUUUUCCUAGACUUUGCGAGAUUUCUCCUGUGAACGAAUUGUCUAUAAGAAUUAGAUACUCCAGUUUCCCUUCGCCGCAGAGAUUCGCCGGUAUUUCGCCGGAGAAUUGAUUGUAUGAUAGGUCCACGUACUGUAACGGAGAGUUUGCGCCGAGUUGACUCGGUAACGUUCCGGUGAGUUUGUUGUUGAAUAGCUUGAGUUCGUACAAGUUUUUGGAGCGAGUUAUGCUCUCCGGUAAGGGACCUUCAAGCAUGUUUUCGAAGAGAUUGAGUGAUUCGAGGUUUAACAGAUUCAAUCCGUCGGGUAUCUUACCUCUAAGCUCGUUCGUCGACGCGUCGAAUCUUUUUAGCGUCGUCAUGUUACCCAUAGCUUCUGGUAACUCGCCUGAGAACGAGUUGUUGAAUAGUUCGAUUUGCUCGACGCUGUUCAGCUGUGUGAUCCAACUUGGGAUUGAUCCAGUGAGUUUAUUAAAUGUCAAAUCCAAGUUAACCAAACGAGUCAAUUUAGAUAGAGCUGAAGGUACCGGACCGACGAGGUUGCAGCCGGCGAGCCAGAGAACUUGAAGCUCUGUGAGGUUUCCGAGUUGACUUGGGAUAAGACUCGGAGAAAACAAAUUGUAAGCGAGUUUGAGUUCUUUGAGAGUCGAGACGUUGCCGAGCGUGGCGGGGAUUGUACCGGAGAGUAAAUUACCGGCGAGGUCUAAAGACUCGAGCUUUUGGAACUCUCCGAAGCUCGCCGGAAUCGUGUCUGAUAAGUUGUUACCGGAGAUUUCGAGGAACUUGAGGUUCGGGAGAUUGGAAGGAAGUGACUUUGGGAUGGACCCGACCAAAAGAUUCUCCGACAAAUCGAGAUAUUCGAGAUUACGACACGCCGUGAAGUCAUCGCCGGAGAGAGAACCAUUGAUGGAGUUGUUAGCAAGAGAGAGAAAGGAUAGAGAAGGAAGACGACAGAGGAUGGAGGGGAAAGGACCGACGACCAUGAAGCUUGAGAGAUCGACGGAGACGACGGAUGAGAAAGCGUCGCACUUGACGCCGUUCCAUUGACACGGCGUGACGUCGUUAUCGGACCAUGAAGAAAGGGACUGAACCGGGUCUGAUAAACUCAGUUUGGCUUGCCGGAGAAUGGUGGCAUCUUGGUUUAGAGAUAGACUUAGAUACGUGGAGGAGAGACAUAGGAGGAGAAUAAGACAAUAAAGCAUUUUUGUUAUAAAAAAAAAAGUUAUGGUUCUUUCAUGCUUUGGAUUUGUGAACAAAAACGAUAUUAUGGAUUGGUAAUUAUAAAGGGAUAUCUAGAAGCAAAAAGGGUAAUGGUCACUGUGACAAGACAUGGGUGAGACAUGUUUUUGAACAAUUCGGAGGCAAAUACAAUACAGUUCGAUGAUUUUUAUAUGAAAUCGAUUACAGAAUAAAGUACUACAUAUACAAAUCAUCUCCAAAAACAUAUAAAGUGAUAGAAAAAGAAACAUUUGGAUUCUAAUAGUUACAUAAAUAUACAUAGUGUAAUUUUUUAUUUAUAGGUAAAUAAGAACAUGUAAAUUAUUGUUCACUUCUUCAAUUAUUCGAAAAGAAAAACAAUGGUCAAUGGUCACUCUCUGAGUCAACUGUAAUGCUACUUUGGUCAACAUGAUGGAGAUACAUGGGCCAAGAGAUGCUGGAUCUAUGUUGACUUUUCUAGUUUGCAUAGAGGCUUCUGGAUUGGACUAAUGUUAUGAAUACAAACUACACAACUAGUGAUGGGAUCUAAUGUGGUUUUUGUGGAACGUAUAUCCUAUGAUUUUACUGUGUAUCGAUCUAAAAAAAAGUUGUUGAACCAAAAACCUAAAACAUACAUGAUCUCCCAACCCUAGAUUGAACAGAUAAUUUGAUGUGAUGGGCAUACGUUUGUAAAGCCGAGUGUGUAUACGUAGACAAGGUCAACUUUGGUUGGUCGGGAAAAAACAUGAUCCAACAGUAAUUUUUUGUUAGAUUACUUUCAUUUCAAUAAGAAAAGCAACAGUCACUUUGAUUUUGAAAAAAAACUACGAGAUUUAAGGGGGGAAAAGAGAGAAAAUGAUGGAUCUUGUCUUUAGCUAAUCUGUGAUCGGAUAUCACGAGUUUUUGCGAUGGUUACAACGCACUAUGCAGUAUGAUGUAACUUCAAGUCCAAUAAUGUUUUGGUCUUCUAACGAUAAUUACCACCACUCUUCCUAGUUUGCAUUCUCUUUACGUCUCCUCGAGUACGUUGCUUUUUUUUAAUGGUUUGGACUUAGUUUUAGUAAUAAAUUUAUAAUAACGAUAUGCUUCAAAAUCUUGUUAUUUUAGUGUUCCAAAAGAAAAUUGUUAGCUAUACCCAAAAACCACGUAAAAAAAGGUUAUACGUGAUAUAAUUUCGUUUUAUUAAAUCCAUGUUUAAUAUGGUUUGCAUGUAUACAGCAUGUAAAUUUUUUCAAAUGAAACAGAGAAUAGCAAAGUUUUCGUUUUUGAAGUUUUAUUAACAAAUACAAUUUUGAGUUGCAGGUCCACUUACCAACUGAUAACCUCUUUUAGCCGAAGAAUAAAUUCGUGCAUAGACCAAUCCAAUACAAUUCUUCAUGGACCAUACGUUAGACUUAGACACUAACUAGACUAGACAGAUUAUAAUUAAGCCACGUCAUUGAAGAGCACGAAACUUACAUUAUUUCGUAUUUUUUGGGAUCCUCCAUAAUCAUCAAUAAUUUAGAACCACUGAAUUAAUUUUUCUAUUUCAAGAAUGGCAAAGUAAUACCAUUGUAUUCUCUUAUCUUCAUGUAGUUUAAUAGACUUAUAGCAUUGCUUGUGUAAAUUAUAUGAAAUCACCUGUAAAUUUUUAUCACAACAAUAUCAUAGAAGUAUAUAUAUAAUCUUCAUAGUUGAUACUAAGGAAACGGUAACAGAGUUUUUUUUAAAAGUUAAAUCCUUUCUGUUACAAACCUCCUAUUUCUUGUUUCGUUACUCAAAUGGUUUUUACGUUUUGUUAUUGCUAAUCUUGACCUGCAACAGAAACAUAAAAAUGGAAGAACAGAAUAUCAACCUUGAAACCUUAACAACAACAACUCAACCGAAGCAGACACCAAAACAAAGAAAGAAAGAAAUCGAAACCCAUAAAAUCUUGUACAAUCCUUUCAUAUCAGAAUAAGCACCAGAGAGACAAAAAGGAAAAGAAAAGAAGAGAUACAUAAUCAUUUGAAAUUGCAGAUAUAAAAAAAUUCAGUGAUGGAAGAGACAAAGCAGUCAUUGAUAGCAUCUUUGCCGGCGGCACCAAGAAAGCCGAAGUCGAAAGUAGAGAAAUUUGCGAGGAAAACAUUCAAAGGAACAACUCAUUUGUCAAAUCUACUUCCGACCGGUUCGGUGAUGAGUUUUCAAAUAAUGUGUCCGGUCCUAACCCAUCAGGGUCAGUGUCCGACCAUCACCAGUCGCUGGCUCACCUGCUUCCUCGUCUUCGUAUGCGCCAUCUCUUGCUUCAUCUUCUCCUUUACCGACUCUAUCAGAGACCCAAACGGCAAGGUAAUAUACAUUUCUCUAUCACAUUUUAGCUAUUUUUAUAUUUACCAUUCGUAUGACAUAUCAAAACUCAAUGUUGUAGAUUAGGUACGGAAUCGCGACAUGGACCGGGCUAUGUGUGAUAGACGGAUCAAUAACUCUAACGGAUGAGGAGAAGGCAAAGUAUAAGCUACAGAUUCUUGAUUUCGUGCACGCAAUCAUGUCAAUGCUCGUCUUCUUUGCAAUCUCCAUGUUUGAUCAGAACGUAACCCGUUGUUUAUUCCCUGUUCCUUCCGAGGAAACUAAGGAGGUCCUUACCAGUUUGCCUUUUAUCAUUGGUGUCUUUUGUGGUGGCUUCUUCCUCGCGUUCCCGACACGCCGUCAUGGCAUCGGAUCCCCACUCACCAAAGAGUAACUUCAUACUCUUACACAAAAUGACGUAAAGUUUUAGUUAUCUUCAAAUUUUUGUUUCUGGAUGACAUGUAACGGAAUCUUGAAAAGAACUAUUCUUUAAAAAAGAUUUGAAAGAACUAUUCUGUAAAAAGAAGACUUGUUUAACAACACGAAAUUAAUGAAGAGGGGGAGAAUUCCCUAUAAAUCGUAUAUUACCAAAUGAUCUUAAUCUCCACACAUCACAAGACAGAAGCUUUAAUCAUUAUCACCCAAGAAGCUUCUUAAACCCAGCUUUCUGUUCCGCAGUUAAUCUCGCUGGAAACUUGAUAUUGAACUUGAUCCUCAAGUUCCCUUUCUUUGUCUGAUCUUUCUGAAGUGGCAUUCCCUCUUUAGGAACCACCUCUUCAUACUCUGGAUGGAUCACGUUGGUGACCGGGAUUGCAAGUGUACGGCCAUCAAGGGUCGUUAUGUUUGUGGUGUAGCCUGUCAAGGCAUCAGCUAGUGAGAUCUUCUGUGUGACAAUCAGAUCGUUACCCUCUCGAGUGAACACUGGAUGGGGUUUCUCGUCAAUGAUGAAUACUAGAUCCGCUGGAAUCACACCCGGAUGCUCAUUGCCUUUCUCUGGGAAUGUGAUCUUUGUGCCUUUCUUCCACCCGGGUUUCACUCCAAUUGUUAGAAUCUCUUCCACUUGCAUUGCCUUUCUGCAUUUAGCAGAAGAAAAAAGAUAAGAUAGAUAUUAGAUACUGUCAAUACAACAACUAAGGCCAGCUCAAAUCAAACAGGUAAUAAAGCAGGGGAAGUUUAUAUUCAGCAUUGAUCAAUACCUUCAAAAUGAUACUGGAAUAUAAUGCAUAAUGUUACAGAAACUAAAGCUUGAAACAAAAGUUUCAUAUGUCUUCAUACUUGGGAGGUUGUCUUUCAAAUCCAUGCCUUAUGUUAACUAGUAGAUAAGUCCAAUACAAAAACUUUCUAAGUGUGAUCGGAUUGGUAGCUGAGUUUGAUCACUUACCCGCUGACAUCUACAAUCUCCCUGGAGAUCUUCAUCUUCUUGGUGGUUCCUUUGUAGAGAUCUUCAAGGCUACAAGGCAACUUGUUCUCGAUAGGAGCCACUUUCCUAGCUGGAGCGUGAUGAUGAUGAUGGUGAUGAUGAUGCAUUGGUCCUCCUCCACCUCCUCCAUCACCAAACGAGGCAUACACAUCAUCACCAAACAUGCGGCUAGAGAACCUCGGCCCUCCGCUGCCACCACCUCCACCACCAAAGGGGGUCGAGAACCCGAAAAACUCAGCGAAUAUAUCAUCCGGGCUUCUCGGGUUGAAUCUGAAAGAUGAAGGUCCAUCUCCUGUUGAGAAGUAGGAAGCUCCACCAGCAGCAUUGGGAGGUGGCACGUUCCCUUUUAACCCUUCCUCACCGUACUGAUCGUACACCGCUCUCUUCUGAGGAUCGCUAAGAACCUACAAGAAGUCACAUCCAAAACAACAUCAGCCACACAUAAAAAACCUGAAUCAGUGUAAACAAUCUUAGUGAAAUUGAGUAAUAGAUAAGCAUAGGAAACACAAACUACAACUUUUGGGAUCCUAUUGGCUAAUUCGAUUCCUACUAUAGGACAGUGACCUCACAUAAUCUAGUUAGCCCAAAAAUAAAGCAAGUAUCUUUUAGUUUCAUACUAUGACUCGUAAACACGAAAUCUGGAAAACCCAAACGAGCUAACACAACACCAAAUCGUAAAAUCUGACUAAUUUGAAUCUCAAAUCGAAAAUUAGAAACAAGUUCGUGACCGCCGACAGAAUCACAGGAGGAGGAAAAAAAAAACUCUUUUAAGUACAAAUAAAAAUCAAAACUUUGAGGACGAUUUCAAUAAAGCAAAUCAUAAUUUUAAAUAGAGAGGCAGUGGUGAGGAAUCAAACACGAAAAACAUACAUCGUAGGCUUCAGAGAUCUGCUUGAACUUAGCCUCAGCGUCUUUUUUGUUGUUAGGGUUCUUGUCGGGAUGCCAUUUCAUAGCGAGUUUUCUAUAAGCUUUCUUAAGGUCAUCGUCGCUGGCGCUUCUAUCAACCUGUAGAACCUUGUAAUAAUCAACUCCCAUCUCACCUUCUUCUUCUUCUUCUUCUCUCUUUCGCUUCUUCACUUUUCCUGAAUCCGAUUAAUCAGCAAAGGUCUUUGAUUGAUUGAUUUUUUUUUAUGUGUUCCUUCUUCUUCGUCGUCUCUAGUCUCUUCGUCUUCGGCUUUCGAUGGUUCUUAGUAGAAAAUCUCGUGGAAGGUUCGAGAAAACACGAUCUCUCCGUUGACGGGGAGGUGACGGUGUUUUUAAUCACAGCUUUGCCCUCUUUUGGCUCUUGCCUUCUCCAUUUUUUCCCUUUAAUUAUCGUUGAAGUUUUUAGAUUCUCCAUUUAUGUAAGAUAAAAAUAAAAAUUAAUUCAGAAAAACAAUUAAAUGCUAUUUCCUUUUUCAUUAUCUAAUAAGUUUUGAGUUGGACAAAUAUUGCGAAAUUUAUCUAAAAAAGCCGUGUAGAAUAAGACAUGUAACGUAUUUAAUUAAAUGUUUGUAAUUAUAUUGUCAAAAAAAUAUAAGAAAUUUCAAGUGUUUUUUUUUAUAGAGAUUUUAACCCAAAAAAAUAGACCAUACCAGAUAAGUAAGGCCCAAUAGUAGCUCAAUAAAUAUGGGCCUCAAUGGAAUUCUUGAUGGAGGGGUAAUCUUCUCCGGUAUAAGUGUUGCGACUUUUUUUUCUUUUGAUAAAUUGUUUUUUCUAUUUUCUACAGUUGAACCUUUGUGCUUGAGUUCCCCCAUAAGAAAAAGAAAAGGCAUACUUCUUCUUCUUAAUCUCUUAAACGUGCAAUUUUCCGACUUAGGGUUUCGGCGAGAGCUCAUAAGUAGAAGCUACUCGAUCGUUUCGGAUUUCGAUUAUCAUUGUUUGGAUUCCUCGGGGUUUGAUCGGGUGUUAGUCUGACUAAAAUGGCUCCAGUUCCGGAUCCGAACAGUGUUGCCGGUGGUGCGAAGCGGGAUGAAGCUACGUUGAAGGUUCCUUCUAAGGAUCCCAAGAAGAAGGAUGAUAAAAAGGAAGAUGAUCUGGUGAGCUCUCUUUGCUUCCGAUUUUGCUUUCUCUUUUGUAUCGUGCUUAGCUGAAAGACUUUGCUGGAUUUAUUUAGUAUCGGAAGUAAAUUUCACGAUUGAGCUGUAGGUUUUGCCAGAUUUAGGGUUUAGUUGAUAAUCUGUUCAUUGGAUUUGAAUGCUUCGUAGAUUGAAUGCCACAUUGCUAUUUAAAAACCGGGAUUACGAAGUUGGUAAAAGUUCUUGGAUAUCAAAAUUCUUGUUAGGGUUUACUCCUGUGGUAUUUUGUAUAGGUAUAUCCAUUAGCCAGUUUUGUAUAUAGUUUGAUUGCUAGCUGACUCGGUUUGUAUAUGAUGUCAUUGCAGUCGGAAGAGGACUUGCAACUAAAGCAGAACCUGGAGCUCUAUGUUGAGAGAGUUCAGGACCCCAAUCCUGAGUUGCAGAAAGCUGCUCUUGAAAGCAUGAGGUAAUUCUUGUA
rnacentral:lncRNA from 1 species